rnacentral:lncRNA from 1 species
AUUAUCCUGCAAACACGCCUUCUGGCUGACCAUCGUAAGCAGGCUCGAACUCAAAUACAAUCAACAAUGAUCGGUUCUUUGGUAUCCUCCGUUGUCAUCGUGGUGUAGGCAGUUCUUCAUCUCGAGGUCGCCUUCGUGAGCUAGUUGAUUGAGAUAAUCUGACUAGCAUAGUAUCUAUCUCUUGGCUAUCCAUAUCAGAAGACCAAACUAUGGCUACUGAAAAAUUUCUACUUUAUCUUGGAAAAAAUAACUACAUCAACUACGAAUUUUGGUGGUGCUCUCUCUCUUUUUUAUAUUCUUGGGUGAGCAAGCUUC